AACAUGUGUCCACAUGAGCGGCCAAAACCUGAGCACUGAGAGGAACUGUGAAGGCGAGACGAAGUAAGACGAAGUGUAUGUGCAUGUGAAGCGGAGCUGCCGGCCAUACAACGACGACACAUGUGGAGGCCAACGCAUGCUACAACAAAAACACACAGUACUUUAUAUAUAUAUAUAUUUAUAAACGUUUAGAAACUGGUGAGCAUAUCGCUGACACGGUCCGUCACGUGUGUGAGAAGUGAGCUGCAGUCGUGUCUUGUCAUCCGCGAUGGAAAAACUAUUUGAGGAGCAGAUGCUAGCAGUGGCGACUUUCUUACUAGGAACUUGUGCAAUAAACGCUGAACAAUGAAGGACCAUGGACAGCGACACAACUCAACCACAACAACCGAGGCAGGCUUCUGACGUCUUCAUGGACAUGGUGUCCUUUACUACAAGGGAUAACAAGUGAUUGCAGAUCAUGUCCAAGGUCACCAGCGACUUCCUCAUAGGAGCUCAUAAAUCUACCGCCCUACUCCGGUCUUAAUGUCAACGUCACUGUCAAUCUGCUGCAACAUAUUGGCCCGCUUCACUUAAAUGGAGUUUUAUAUUACUUUUACGAUAAAGCCCAGCUGGACUUCAAACAUUAGCUGCAGUGGGGAGAGCAAAUAUGGCGGGGGCCUGCUGAUCAAUAUAACAGGUGGCUCAUCAGCCAGCUUAACAGGAUCAGAUAAAUAUGACUGACUUUCACAGACAUGUGCCGUGUAGCACCCGCUCACUCCGCUGUCAUAUUCCCAUAAUGUGAGGACUAAAUCUUUUUUUCACCUGACGUGCUUCUAUUACUUACUUUUCUGUAACAUGUGUCCACGUCGUGUCUGCAGCAAAGACGUGUAAAAACUGUGAGGGCUUUAAAUGAAUCCAUGUGGCAUCUGAUGACGGCAGCAAAGGUCUGUUCCUUUCUUCUCUUAACCAUCUGCAGACCGAAAGACUGAACAUGUUACAGUUACGAGAGAUGGCUUUGUACCACUCUCGCAUGUCUCACAGACUGUGGCGAGUGCGGCGUUGUUUCAAACUAGUUCGACGUUCACAAAGGUUUAUGAAGACAUGAUCGACUCAGUCAGCACCUGCCUCACCUGCUGUGGAGAAGACGUGUGUCCACAUUGACGCUGACAGAUCUGCAGCUGCACACAAGAGCUCUUUUGUACUGGAGGGCGAUCUAGUGCGCAUGCACCACUUAUAACGAGAGUCGAUGGGAAAGAUUUUUGCGCCCCAAAGGAACAGGAAAUACGUCACUUGACCGCUCACUCCCUGUAAACAUUUAAACUAUAGUUAAAUGCAGAUUACACACGGCACUCACGGUCUGUAUAAUGUAUACCUAAUUUAUUAAAAUUUUCAUGUUUUUGUUAA